ACUCAAAGGAAUAGACGGGGGCCCGCACAAGCGGCGGAGCAUGCGGAUUAAUUCGAUGCAACGCGAAGAACCUUACCUGGGCUUGACAUGUUUCUGACGAUAUCAGAGAUGGUAUUUCUCUUCGGAGCAGAUUCACAGGUGGUGCAUGGUUGUCGUCAGCUCGUGUUGUGAAAUGUUGGGUUAAGUCCCGCAACGAGCGCAACCCUCGUCUCGUGUUGCCAGCGGUUCGGCCGGGAACUCACGAGAGACCGCCGGGGUUAACCCGGAGGAAGGCGGGGAUGACGUCAAAUCAUCAUGCCCCUUACGUCCAGGGCUUCACGCAUGCUACAAUGGCCGGUACAAAGAGAUGCGAUAUCGUGAGAUGGAGCGGAUCUUAUAAAACCGGUCUCAGUUCGGAUCGGAGCCUGCAACUCGGCUCCGUGAAGGUGGAGUCGCUAGUAAUCGCUGAUCAGCAACGCAGCGGUGAAUGCGUUCCCGGGCCUUGUACACACCGCCCGU
rnacentral:rRNA from 1 species